UACGAAGGUCCCAAGCGUUAUCCGGAUUUAUUGGGUUUAAAGGGUGCGUAGGCGGCCUAUUAAGUCAGUGGUGAAAGCUCCAUGCUUAACGUGGAAAUUGCCAUUGAUACUGACGAUCUUGAGUACAUUUGAGGUGGGCGGAAUGUGUCAUGUAGCGGUGAAAUGCUUAGAUAUGACACAGAACACCGAUUGCGAAGGCAGCUCACUAAACUGUAACUGACGCUGAGGCACGAAAGCGUGGGGAGCAAACAGG
rnacentral:rRNA from 1 species